rnacentral:rRNA from 1 species
AUGCACGCUGGCGGCGUGCCUAAUACAUGCAAGUCGAGCGAACAGACGAGGAGCUUGCUCCUCUGACGUUAGCGGCGGACGGGUGAGUAACACGUGGAUAACCUACCUAUAAGACUGGGAUAACUUCGGGAAACCGGAGCUAAUACCGGAUAAUAUAUUGAACCGCAUGGUUCAAUAGUGAAAGACGGUUUUGCUGUCACUUAUAGAUGGAUCCGCGCCGCAUUAGCUAGUUGGUAAGGUAACGGCUUACCAAGGCGACGAUGCGUAGCCGACCUGAGAGGGUGAUCGGCCACACUGGAACUGAGACACGGUCCAGACUCCUACGGGAGGCAGCAGUAGGGAAUCUUCCGCAAUGGGCGAAAGCCUGACGGAGCAACGCCGCGUGAGUGAUGAAGGUCUUCGGAUCGUAAAACUCUGUUAUUAGGGAAGAACAAAUGUGUAAGUAACUAUGCACGUCUUGACGGUACCUAAUCAGAAAGCCACGGCUAGCUACGUG